rnacentral:lncRNA from 1 species
GCCCUAUACCUGGUUUCCAGGGUCAGCAGCCGGAGAGGUCUUGCUGUUUGCUUUUGAGCUAAUCGCAUGUGCUCACUUCCAGCUGCUGGAUGAGCAGUGAAAUCAAAAUAGCUUCUGACAGUGAUUAUCCUUGCAUGGGGGAUCCCAUGCUCAGGGUGAAGGCAGACAUUCUUUUUUCUUACAGCAAAGAGCAAGGUUUACUGUCAUUAAUAGAAAACCAUCUGUGCUACCUAAUGAGGUUCUAAAGAUUGGAUUCUAUGUCAAGGCUAAGGCAAAGUGGCAGUUGCUCCCUGCGUAGGUGACGUUAGGAGCCUCAACCUGUCAGCUGCUGCGUGAGGCCUGGCGUGGCAAUAACGCAAAGGCAAACUCUUAAGGAGCACUGAGGAUCCCUGGGUCCCACUGCUCCUGACCAGUCCAUCACCCACAGAAACAAAUGAAGUGGAAUUCUCAUUAACCAAUCAGGCUCAUGCAAGCUUCCACCCUUGGCCAGCAGCUCCCAAGCCUCCUCCCCUGAGAGAGAUCUGCGUGCCACCAGCUGAGGAAAUGGCCUUGGCCACAGGAAAUCAC